rnacentral:rRNA from 1 species
CUAACCUGGGUUGUGCUGGGUUACCAUCAUCUGAACGUGUAUAGGGUGGUGGGGGGAACGCGGGGAAGUGAAACAUCUCAGUACCCGCAGGAAGAGAAAAUAAAGUAAUGAUUCUGUGAGUAGUGGCGAGCGAAAGCGGAAGAGACUAAACCUGUGGUGUGUGAUAGCGGUUAGGCGUUGCAUCAUGGGGGUUGUGGGAGUCACAGUGGCAGUUCUAACUGGCUGCCGGCAUGAUGUUCAGGAUGGUAGGUGAACGACUUGGAAUGGUCGGCCGUAGAGGGUGAGAGUCCCGUAAUCGAAAUUGUUCUGUCCGUGGUGUGGCCACCCGAGUAGCACGGGGCUCGUGGAAUCUCGUGUGAAUCUGCCAGGACCACCUGGUAAGUCUAAAUACUUCUUAGUGACCGAUAGUGAAUCAGUACCGUGAGGGAAUGGUGAAAAGUACCCCGGGAGGGGAGUGAAAUAGUACCUGAAACCGUGUGCUUACAAGCCGUUGGAGCCUUUUGGGGUGACAGCGUGCCUUUUGAAGAAUGAGCCUGCGAGUUAGUGUUAUGUCGCGAGGUUAACCCGUGUGGGGUAUCCGUAGCGAAAGCGAGUCUGAAUAGGGCGUUUGAGUGGCAUGACCUAGACCCGAAGCGGAGUGAUCUAUCCAUGGCCAGGUUGAAGCGACGGUAAGACGUCGUGGAGGACCGAACCCACUUCAGUUGAAAAUGGAGGGGAUGAGCUGUGGAUAGGGGUGAAAGGCCAAUCAAACUCUGUGAUAGCUGGUUCUCCCCGAAAUGCAUUUAGGUGCAGCGUUACGUGUUUCUUGCCGGAGGUAGAGCUACUGGAUGGCCGAUGGGCCUUCACGGGUUACUGACGUCAGCUAAACUCCGAAUGCCGGUAAGUGAGAGCGUAGCAGUGAGACAGUGGGGGAUAAGCUUCAUUGUCGAGAGGGAAACAGCCCAGACCACCAACUAAGGCCCCUAAGCGUGUGCUAAGUGGGAAAGGAUGUGGAGUUGCUUAGACAACCAGGAGGUUGGCUUAGAAGCAGCCAUCCUUGAAAGAGUGCGUAACAGCUCACUGGUCAAGUGAUUCUGCGCCGAUAAUGUAGCGGGGCUCAAGUACACCGCCGAAGUUGUGGCAAUGAUCUUUUUGGAUUGUUGGGUAGGGGAGCGUCGUGUGGCCGUUGAAGCUGCGGUGUAAACCAGUGGUGGAGGCUAUGCGAGUGAGAAUGCAGGCAUGAGUAGCGAAAGAUGAGUGAGAAACUCAUCCGCCGGAUGAUCAAGGGUUCCAGGGUCAAGUUAAUCUGCCCUGGGUUAGUCGGGGCCUAAGGCGAGGCCGACAGGCGUAGUCGAUGGAUAACGGGUUGAUAUUCCCGUACCGGUGAAAAACCGCCCAUACUGAUAUUGUGAUGCUAACCAUGCGAAGCAUGAUGUGCAGGCUUUUGUUUGUGUGUUGUGUGGGUUGUGGGACCCGAUCUUUGGAGGUAAACGUGUUAACAGGUGUGACGCAGGAAGGUAGCCAAGCCACGCGAUGGUUGUCGUGGUCUAAGCGUGUAGGGUUGUCGGUUGUUAAAUGCGCCGGCUGUGUGCCUGAGACGUGAUGGGACCCCGUUUUUGGGGGAUUUGGUGAUCCUAUGCUGCCGAGAAAAGCAUCGGCGUGAGGUUUUAGCCGCCCGUACCCUAAACCGACACAGGUGAUCAGGUAGAGAAUACUAAGGCGAUCGAGAGAAUCAUGGUUAAGGAACUCGGCAAAAUGCCCCCGUAACUUCGGGAGAAGGGGGACCUUGAGCGUGAUGGGCACUUGCUGCCUGGAGCGUGUAUGGGUCGCAGAGACCAGGGGGAAGCGACUGUUUAUCAAAAACACAGGUCCGUGCGAAGUCGUAAGACGAUGUAUACGGACUGACUCCUGCCCGGUGCUGGAAGGUUAAGAGGAUUGGUUAGCUCUUUUGGGCGAAGCUGAGAAUUUAAGCCCCAGUAAACGGCGGUGGUAACUAUAACCAUCCUAAGGUAGCGAAAUUCCUUGUCGGGUAAGUUCCGACCUGCACGAAU